rnacentral:rRNA from 1 species
GACGAACGCUGGCGGCGUGCUUAACACAUGCAAGUCGAACGGAAAGGCCCUGCUUUUUUGGGGGGCUCGAGUGGCGAAAGGGUGAGUAACACGGGAGUAACCUGCCCUUGACUUUGGGAUAACUUCAGGAAACUGGGGCUAAUACCGGAUAGGAGCUCCUGCCGCAUGGUGGGGGUUGGAAAGUUUCGGCGGUUGGGGAUGGACUCGCGGCUUAUCAGCUUGUUGGUGGGGUAGUGGCUUACCAAGGCUUUGACGGGUAGCCGGCCUGAGAGGGUGACCGGCCACAUUGGGACUGAGAUACGGCCCAGACUCCUACGGGAGGCAGCAGUGGGGAAUAUUGCACAAUGGGCGGAAGCCUGAUGCAGCAACGCCGCGUGCGGGAUGACGGCCUUCGGGUUGUAAACCGCUUUCGCCUGUGACGAAGCGUGAGUGACGGUAAUGGGUAAAGAAGCACCGGCUAACUACGUG